AAGGCUUUAGCUUAAUGAAAGUGUCUGGGUUGCAUUCAGAUGAUAUAGAUGAGAGUUCUGUAGGUCUUG
rnacentral:tRNA from 1 species